GACGAACGCUGGCGGCGUGCCUAAUACAUGCAAGUCGAACGAAGGCGGCCGGUACUUGCAUUGUUUAAUUUAGAGUCGCACGGGUGUGUAUCACGUGUAUAACCUCCGCCCCAGAGGGGGAUACCAUCGUGAGACGGGAGCUAUAACCGCAUAGGCCUUCGAACCGCAGGGUUGGGGGAGGAAAAAAGGUGCACGCUUCUUCUAAUCGAUCACCCAGGGGUGGGUUUGCGAGUUGGUGAGGUAACGGCGAGCCAAGGGCUUGAUGGAUAGCCGACCUGUGGGGGGGAUCGGCCACAUUGGAACUGAGACACGGCCCAAACUCCUACGGGAGGCAGCAGUAGGGAACUUUCGGCAAGGGCGGAAAGCCUGACGGAGAAACGCCGCGUGAGUGAAGAAGGUGUUCGGUUCGUAAAACCUGUUUAUUGGGGAGGAACAACUGCUUGAGUAACUGUUGACGGAUUGACGGUACCUAAAUAGAAAGCCACGGCUAACUACGUG
rnacentral:rRNA from 1 species